CAGUAGCCGCGGUAAUACGUAGGGUGCGAGCGUUAAUCGGAAUUACUGGGCGUAAAGCGUGCGCAGGCGGCUUUGCAAGACAGAUGUGAAAUCCCCGGGCUCAACCUGGGAACUGCAUUUGUGACUGCAAGGCUAGAGUGCGGCAGAGGGAGAUGGAAUUCCGCGUGUUGCAGUGAAAUGCGUAGAUAUGCGGAGGAACACCGAUGGCGAAGGCAAUCUCCUGGGCCUGCACUGACGCUCAUGCACGAAAGCGUGGGGAGCAAACAGGAUUAGAUACCCCAGUAGUCCCUGUCUCUUAUAA
rnacentral:rRNA from 1 species